CCAGCAUCCCCGGGGGACCGCGCACAAGCGGUUGAGAGGCAGCUGAAGUGGCUGCGACCCGUCGAACCUGAUCCGGCUGACACCGGCGUAGGGAGGGAACGGCUUGUGUAA
rnacentral:ncRNA from 2 species